UACGUAGGGGGCAAGCGUUGUCCGGAUUUAUUGGGCGUAAAGAGCGUGUAGGCGGCCGUGUAGGUCCGUUGUGAAAACUCGAGGCUCAACCUCGAGAUGUCGACCGAAACCAUCUGGCUAGAGUCCGGAAGAGGAGAAUGGAAUUCCCGGUGUAGCGGUGAAAUGCGCAGAUAUCGGGAAGAACACCCGUGGCGAAGGCGGUUCUCUGGGACGGUACUGACGCUGAGACGCGAAAGCGUGGGGAGCGAACAGG
rnacentral:rRNA from 1 species